ensembl:snoRNA small nucleolar RNA SNORA40
AGCACUUGUGUAUGUUUUUGUUCAGUGGAUGGCCAAACCAGGUUAGACAGGAGCAAAAAUUAAUCCUCUUUUGCAACUCGGAACUCCUUGUUCAGUGUGAGUUUUGAUACUUACAAGAAGGACUAUA